rnacentral:rRNA from 1 species
UACGGAGGGGGCUAGCGUUGUUCGGAAUUACUGGGCGUAAAGCGCACGUAGGCGGCUUUGUAAGUUAGAGGUGAAAGCCCGGGGCUCAACUCCGGAAUUGCCUUUAAGACUGCAUCGCUAGAAUUGUGGAGAGGUAAGUGGAAUUCCGAGUGUAGAGGUGAAAUUCGUAGAUAUUCGGAGGAACACCAGUGGCGAAGGCGACUUACUGGACACAUAUUGACGCUGAGGUGCGAAAGCGUGGGAGCAAACAGG